rnacentral:rRNA from 1 species
UACGGAGGAUGCGAGCGUUAUCCGGAUUUAUUGGGUUUAAAGGGUGCGUAGGCGGGCUUUUAAGUCAGCGGUAAAAAUUCGGGGCUCAACCCCGUCCGGCCGUUGAAACUGGCGGCCUCGAGUGGGCGAGAAGUAUGCGGAAUGCGUGGUGUAGCGGUGAAAUGCGUAGAUAUCACGCAGAACUCCGAUUGCGAAGGCAGCAUACCGGCGCCCGACUGACGCUGAAGCACGAAAGCGUGGGUAUCGAACAGG